GACGAACGCUGGCGGCGUGCUUAACACAUGCAAGUCGAACGGAAAGGCCCAGCUUGCUGGGUACUCGAGUGGCGAACGGGUGAGUAACACGUGGGUGAUCUGCCCUGGACUCUGGGAUAAGCCUGGGAAACUGGGUCUAAUACCGGAUAUGACCUUACAUCGCAUGGUGUUUGGUGGAAAGCUUUUGCGGUUCAGGAUGGGCCCGCGGCCUAUCAGCUUGUUGGUGGGGUAAUGGCCUACCAAGGCGACGACGGGUAGCCGACCUGAGAGGGUGAUCGGCCACACUGGGACUGAGACACGACCCAGACUCCUACGGGAGGCAGCAGUGGGGAAUAUUGCACAAUGGGCGCAAGCCUGAUGCAGCGACGCCGCGUGAGGGAUGACGGCCUUCGGGUUGUAAACCUCUUUCACCAGGGACGAAGCGUGAGUGACGGUACCUGGAGAAGAAGCACCGGCCAACUACGUG
rnacentral:rRNA from 1 species